CCUACGGGUGGCAGCAGUGAGGAAUAUUGGUCAAUGGGCGUAAGCCUGAACCAGCCAAGUCGCGUGAGGGAUUAAGGUUCUAUGGAUCGUAAACCUCUUUUAUCGGGGAAUAAAGUGCGGGACGUGUCCCGUUUUGUAUGGUCCUUAUGAAUAAAGAUCGGAUAACUCCGUUCCAGCAGCCGCGGUAAUACGGAGGGUCCGGGCGUUUUUCGGGUUUAUUGGGGUUAAAGGGUGCGUUGGCGGACUUUUAAAGCAGGGGGGAAAGACUGGGGAUCAAACCUAGAACUGCCGUUGAAACUGGGGGGCUUGAGUGUGUUUGAGGCAGGCGGAAUGCGUGGUGUAGCGGUGAAAUGCUUAGAUAUCACGCAGAACCCCGAUUGCGAAGGCAGCCUGCCAAGCCAUGACUGACGCUGAUGCACGAAAGCGUGGGGAUCAAACAGGAUUAGAUACCCCAGUAGUC
rnacentral:rRNA from 1 species